CAGCAGCCGCGGUAAUACGUAGGUCCGAGCGUUGUCCGGAUUUAUUGGGCGUAAAGGGAGCGCAGGCGGUUUAGUAAGUCUGGAGUUAAAGGCAUUGGCUCAACCAAUGUAUGCUUUGGAAACUGUUUGACUUGAGUGCAGAAGGGGAGAGUGGAAUUCCAUGUGUAGCGGAGAAACGCGUAGAUAUAUGGAGGAACACCGGUGGCGAAAGCGGCUCUCUGGUCUGUCACUGACGCUGAGGCUCGAAAGCGUGGGUAGCGAACAGGAUUAGAUACCCCGGUAGUCCCUGUCUCUUAUACAC
rnacentral:rRNA from 1 species